CUGCCAUCCUACUGAGGAAAAAGACAUCAUUCUAAUGUACUGUAAUAAAUUCUGAUCAUGAAAUCAGCCCAUUAGGAAGCACCUCUUGGAGAUCAUGGAUAACAUGCUAGGAAAAUGCAUCCUUUUUUAGUGGGCUUAUCAAAAAUAGUGAUGACGUACAUCUUGCCAAACCUAUUGCAACCUCCCCUUAGAUGUUAAUAUUAUUGCUGGAAGUUGGACUUUUCAUAGAACAUGUGAGAGAUUAGCAAGAACAUGUGAAAUGUUUUCAACUGGGAAGUCGGAUACAGAAGCAUCAUCCACAGUUUUUAUUGGGCCGAGUCAAAUAGGGGGCCUCUACCUGGUUGAAUUAUUAAGGGAUAAUUGAUCAUGUCUGUAACUUGCUCUCAAAUGGUUCAGCCAAAUGUCAGAAAUGUCAGAGAGACAGAGA